rnacentral:rRNA from 2 species
CUUGGCGGCCAUAGCCCUUUGGACCCACCCCUUCCCAUCCCGAACAGGACCGUGAAACGAAGGCGCGCCGAUGAUAGUGCAUCUCCAUGUGUGAAAGUAGGUCACCGCCAGGC